GGGAGGGCAAAGAGCCACUGUGACAGCCUUUUUGGGUAUCUGCACUUGGUGGCUCCUGAAUUCUUGUCCAGUGCCCAAGAAGAAUGAGGUCAUGCAGACAAAUCAAAGGAUGUCAAGUCACCUCUUUCUGACGUCCAGCCACUGUCUCUGAAGUCAAGUCACCUCUUUCUGAUGUCCAGCUGCUUCUCUGAAGUCAAGUCACCUCUCCCUGUGAUCCAGCCACUUCUCUGAAGUCAAGUCACCUCUCCCCGACAUCCAGCCAUGUCUCUGAAGUCAGGAACUUACAGUCCUGUUUAAAGACACGAAGAGAAAAACGAGAUGCCAAACCACAGUGGGAGUUUAGAGAAGACUGUGAUGAGAGUUGGAGCAUUCUUGGGGAGUCUUUGCUGCAGAGAUGGGACUUUAUGCAUCAGUACAUUCUUAAAGUGUCUACGCUGCCCCGGGAUGCUGAGCCCCUGGACACCACAGGUGGCAUUUCAGCUAUGAGUGAGGGGGGGCAUUUGGAAGGGGAGCCCCGAAGGGGAAGACAAUGGCUCAGAGAGAAUGAAGUCAGCACUUCCCAGCCUCUGUGUGCUGCGGUCCAAGGCUUCGGCCGGGAGCACUGCAGAGCAAAAGUUCUGAGAGCCACGGCUCAGGCUUAACUGGCCAGAGCGAGCUUGGCAGCUGCUCUCGUCCCAGCAGGCUUUGCUCUCUGAGGCAGUCAUUCCCACCACACAAAGGCAGUUCUGUGCCUCCCAAAGGUGCUUGGGGCAGGAAUGAAGAGCGGAACAGCCCCCAUCAAUCCAAUAGGAUUGUCGUUUUACGCUGGCGUGGAGCCUCAGACAUCAAAAGGGCUGGAGAGUGAAGCCACGUGUGAGCCGUGAAGUUGGUGACCCUGAGGCACAGAAAGCUGAGGGAAUUUGUUCGAAGUCACACAGCUGUGGAAAAGCAUUUGGGAGGAAGUGGAACCAAA
rnacentral:lncRNA from 1 species